rnacentral:rRNA from 1 species
AAGUGACGGGGCCCGCACAAGCGGAGGAACAUGUGGUUUAAUUCGAUGAUACGCGAGGAACCUUUACCUGGGCUUAAAUGUAGAGUGCAUGAAGUGGAAACAUUUCUUUCCUUCGGGACUCUUUGCAAGGUGCUGCAUGGCUGUCGUCAGCUCGUGCCGUGAGGUGUUGGGUUAAGUCCCGCAACGAGCGCAAACCCCUACUGCCAGUUACUAACAGGUGAAGCUGAGGACUCUGGCGGAACUGCCGGUGACAAACCGGAGGAAGGUGGGAUGACGUCAAGUCAUCAUGGCCCUUAUGUCCAGGGCUACACACGUGCUACAAUGGGCGAGACAGAGCGACGCGAAGCCGCGAGGUGGAGCAAAUCGCAGAAAAUCGCCCUCAGUUCGGAUUGGAGUCUGAAACCCGACUCCAUGAAGGUGGAAUCGCUAGUAAUCGCGCAUCAGCAUGGCGCGGUGAAUACGUUCCCGGGCCUU